GGGCGGUUAGCUCAGUUGGUUAGAGCGCUACCUUGACACGGUAGAGGUCACAGGUUCGAAUCCUGUAUCGCCCA
rfam:Nocardiopsis flavescens strain CGMCC 4.5723 genome assembly, contig: Ga0104439_110